GGGAUAUUAGCUCAGUUGGUAGAGCAGCUGACUCUUAAUCAGUAGGUCGUAGGUUCGAGCCCUACAUAUCCCA
rnacentral:tRNA from 1 species